CCCCCAGACUCCUACGGGAGGCAGCAGUGGGGAAUAUUGCACAAUGGGGGAAACCCUGAUGCAGCGACGCCGCGUGAGUGAAGAAGUAUUUCGGUAUGUAAAGCUCUAUCAGCAGGGAAGAAAAUGACGGUACCUGACUAAGAAGCCCCGGCUAACUACGUGCCAGCAGCCGCGGUAAUACGUAGGGGGCAAGCGUUAUCCGGAUUUACUGGGUGUAAAGGGAGCGUAGACGGCAUGGCAAGUCAGAUGUGAAAGCCCGGGGCUCAACCCCGGGACUGCAUUUGAAACUGUCAGGCUGGAGUGCAGGAGGGGCAGGCGGAAUUCCUGGUGUAGCGGUGAAAUGCGUAGAUAUCAGGAGGAACACCGGCGGCGAAGGCGGCCUGCUGGACCGCGACUGACGUUGAGGCUCGAAAGCGUGGGGAGCACACAGGAUUAGAUACCCCUGUA
rnacentral:rRNA from 1 species